AGAGGCUUGGUCUCAAUGAGGAGAUGUUAUAAGCAAAUCAUCAUUCUCUAACAAUCCUGAAUUCCAAAAGAUAAUUGUCAGUUUGCACUUUGCAGACAGUGUAAUAUAUGAUAAAUGAGUAGGUUCAAUACUUCAUGUUUUAAAGAGAUGGGAGCUCUUCUUACCAUUGUAUAGGUUUUAAUUAUUCAUCUAUUCUGUAAGUUCUUAUAGUUCCACUCAUUUUUUAAAAAGUCCUGUAGUUUAAGAAUUUGUAGUCAUAUCCCUAGUUCCUCACAUCGAACAAAAAUUUGUAAUCCAUUACAAAAACAUUAAAUUAAACAGAAUGUCCUUUUAAUUGUACAUUCCAGUAUAUUUGUGUUUCACAAUUUCAAAGGAUCACUGUAUACAUCACAAUACUCCAAUUAACUUGGGCUUCCACAAGGCCUAGGAUCAAGGGCGUUAGCUUUUGCUGGAGCAAUGAGCACCUCGCUUCCUCUAAAAAUACCCGCUUGAGGUUCACCUCUACAACUUUGCAUUGGUCUUGGAGAACAAGAUGAUGAGAAGGAUUUGUGAUGAGGACCUACAUUCUUCCAUGAAGACACUUUCAAUCUAAGUUCCCUAAGAAUUGGACGAAGAGGACUUGAAGAAGAUUCAUGGUGCAUUGCUUGCGACCACAUUUAGAUUUAGUCCACCUAGGGCUGAGUGGGAAUCCCCACUGCAUGUUUUAGCUUCCUUAAUGGAAGCACUACCGGAUAACCAUUUUAGUAUCAACAGCGUCAAGUCUAGCUAUGAGUAGUUGGAAUGGAUCGAAGACUUAUUGAAAUGGUUCAUUUCUUAGCAAUGUGAUGUGUUUCUUAGGUUGACGUGGAUGAUGGUAACGUUUCUUCGAGCUUGUGUAUUGAUCUUGGCAAGUCAUAUGUUUCAUAUGUCUCUCUUCUGCGCUUAAUUUAUUAUUUGCAAUCAUAAUCAAUCACUCUUUGAGGUGAAUUGAGAUUUGAGGGAAAGCUUUCCAUAAGCCAAAGCUUAAUUCAAUUAUUUUAGAUGGCCAUAUGCAAUUGGAUAGAUGGCUGGACUAGCAAGCGCUUUCAUGUGUGAGGGAGGAGAUAGCAAGCCCUCCUAUAGAUCAGGUUGAUUGGCGUAUGGGUGUACCAUUACAAUCUAGAUUGUUUGAUGUGUGAUGCACCACAUUGGGAAUGUGCUCAUAAUCCAUUUAAUCAAGCUUUUUUGGGAUCUAAUCAAUUUUUUUUUAAACUAUAGGGACCUAUUUAAAACUCAAUUAAAGUUAUAGAGAGCUAUCAAUUGAAUCUAUUAAUUAUUCUUGAUGCAUGUUGCAUCAAAUAAGCGAUAUGAUGAAUAAUGAUAACAUUGAUAAAAUGAAGAUUGUCGAGUUCAAAGACCUUCACAUAAAUUAUGUGUUAUCAUUGACAUCGUGCGUUAAAUGCUCUAUUCCACAAGUAUGUUGCAACAAUCGUAUUGAAUAUCUCUUUGAAUCCUAUUUCUUGAAUGUAAAUGGUUGAACGUUUGAACCUAAUUGUAAAUCAUUGCCUUUCUGACUUUCAGUUCAGAUGUUCACUCUGACUUAAUGGCUAGUUUUAAUUGGUGUUUAUUUGUCUUCUUGUGCAAGGGGAAACAGAUGCCUUGUUGUUUGUUUUAUGAUUUGGGUCACCAUAGCUUGUCCUCCUCUCCUCAAUUAACAGGAUGUUGCAGGAGUGUAUCUUCAUAUUAUGCAUCCUGUUACAUUGGGACUUUACAUUAGUGUGAUGCUGAAUGUACUAGAAUUUUAUUGUCACGUGGCUUAGAACAUUUGAAGCCACAUGAAUUUUAAGGAUAGAUUUUUAUGUCAGUAUGAGUGUUAUGCAAUAUGCAUUGAGAUCUGCCAUAUUGCCGUAUAUAGUUUUCACUCUCAAAUUCAAUAUAAUUUCAAGCUUCAGUCUCAAAAUGAAUGACCACUAAUUUUGAUUUCAUGUUUUUGUAUCUUCUCUUUAUUAGUCUUUCUUGUUUGUUUAGUACUGUUUCAUCAUAUAUUGUACAUUUUAAAGUAUUGUCAAAUGAUAAUAUAAUGUAGCUACAAUGAUUACUAGUGGCUUAAUAGGCACCAUUAUUCUUGUUAAGUUGUCUUUUAUCUUUUGGAGUAAUAGCACAACUGCACAAGUAGGUCUCUAAAGAAGUUUGCAAUGGAUUUAUAGACCCCUAAGAAAAAAGGGUACCAAGUAAGUCCUGAGGAAUUUUGUGAUGGAUUUGUAGGUUUUUGAGGAAAAAAAUACCAAGUAAGUCCUUGAAGAAUACUAGACACGUUUCGUCCUUCUAUUAUUCUGCUGUCCCAUUUUGUCAAGGACCUAUAAGUCCAACGGUGCAAGUCUUCAGGAAUAUACUUGGCACUUUUUUCCCUCUAGGAUCUAUUAGUCCAUCACAAAAUUCUCCAUUAACCUACUUGUCCUAUUACUCUAUUUUUUUGCAUGAUUAAUAGGAAAUUUUCUUUAUAAAUUUUGAUAUGUUUGAAAAGGUACACCAACUAUUCAAUAUACUCAAUACAAUAUCACAUCAGUAAACACCUCUUAAGAGUUGGAUUGAGUUAACCAUUGUUGCAAAAAUGGAGACCAAACCUUAGUGGGAAACUGUGGCUGCAAAUAAAAACUGCUCACAAUUGGGAACUUAAUUACCUUCCUUUGCAUUUGUAAUCCCUUUAGAAAUUGUUUUAGAAGGUUAAUAAUGCGGAAAAAGAAGUCGAAAAUAAUGGAAAAUGGACCUGAAGUGGAAUAGUCAGUUGGCAAAAUUUAUCCUCUUCCUUGAGAGACUAGAAUGCUAUGUUUUAUAGAUAAAUCUUUUGAUUGUUUUGCUCUUGUAUAGAGAAACUCUUAUCCUCUUGCUUUUAUUAUUCAUUUCUUUUAAAAUGAUUAUUUUUAUCCAAAAAACUUAAAAUAAAAAUUUCCCUCAAUGAAGUAACUACCUCUAUUACUAAAUGAUUUACCUACUAUGGAGUUUUUAUAGUUUCUCUCAAUUUUCCUUUGGUUCUUAUAGGCUAAAAUUUAUAAUCAUGUAUCUAUAAUGCAUACAAUUCAAGUUACAAAAGUGUGAGGUCAAACAGAGUAUUGCUUGAGUAGUGUUAGGUUGACAUAACAGGAAUCCUUUUAGUUUAUUUAGUUGGAGCCCUAAUAUAACUAAUGAUGGGUGAUGCAUUCCAAAAGUACCUCCAUUAAUUUUAGUUGCAUCUAUAGUUCUACACAAUCACAUUUUACCCCUUCACUCCAUAUAUAUCAUGGCCAAUCCCUAAGUGGUGUUCAGUUAAGGUUAUUUUGGGUCCAGAAGAAAUUCAUCUCAGGAUUGUAUGAUUGUAUCAGUCAUUUUAUUAAAAGAGCAAAGUGUACCUUUUUUGUUCUUGAUGUUUUUGAGAAGUUUCAAAAUUAUCCUUGCAUAUAUUUGAUUCAAUUUGACUCAUAAUAUAUGAAAUGAGUUUCAAUUCUACUGUCAUUGUUGAUUUUUUGAUGGUGAAUAGGUAGCCAAACUUUAUUUUUUCAAUUCCCCCCUACUCCUUCCUUAAUCUUCCUCACUUCCUCAACAACACCAGUGCUGCCACCAAGACUGGAGUCGCUAGCACCAACCAAUGCUGUGACUACCAUGAGCAAAUUGUCAAGCCACCACUUCGUUCCCUUCUCUCACUCAACCACAAACCUCUUCCUUUUCCCUUUUUUUGAAACAGAAGUGGCACCACUACUGCUGCUCUCCGACGCCAGUUUGAUCAUGCCCAAGAUCCUUCUUCCAAAGUGCACCGUAUCAGUUGUGCUCCAUCUUUGUUUCUACCAUGUCGACACGGGUGCAUCAUUUUGCAUAAGGAGAAGGCUAUUUUGGUCGACGAUGUGAGUUGUGUGGAGGACAAGGAAGAUAUGAACCCUAUGGCUGGUUACAAUUGUGUUGCAGAACCUGGGAAGCUUGUGGUGGUGGAAUCUAAUGUUUUGGGGAGGGUGAGACAUGAAUUUGGGGAGAGACCUUCUAAGGUGCUGGAGGCAAUUCUUAACUGAUAGGGAAAACAUAUUGCUCUUAUAGGGUCAUGAACACAAGCAGAUCGAAUAGAUGUUCUUGAUCAUUACCUAUUGGGAAGAGAGCUAUAAACCAAAGCUAAAGCUUUCUUCCUCCUCUGAGGUCACUUUCAUUGAUAGAGGAGGUGCGGGCUCUUACAAUGCCUUUUCUUGACAUCAUCAGUCAUUUCGUCUCGAUCGAGCUUCAAUCCUCCUCACUUCCUCUACCUUUUGCCUUUUGUCUAUCUUCCAUUUGAUCCACCUUACUAAUUAGAUGCUCUGCCAAUCUUCUCCCUACAUGUCCAAACUACCUAAGAUGAGAUUUUUCUAUCUUUCCAACACUAGGCUCUCUUAUAUUUUUGUUUCUUAUUUGGUCUAUAGUUGUUUGGCUACUCAUCCAUCUAAGCAUCAUAUUUGUCACAUUAAGUUUAUGUUUAUGCUUAUCCUUUGCUGUCUAACACUUCUUUUCAUAUAACAUAGCUGGUCCAAUGGUAGUGAUACAAUUUAAGCAUAAGUUUUAAGGUACAUGCUAUGGUGCUUAUGAUAUGGUGGCUAUAGUGCCUAAAAAAUGUUGCUAAAAUUAAAAUUUUUUUUACUAUUUUACGCUUUUUUAAUUUCAAAAAAAUAAAAGAAAAAGUGUUACCAAAAUGUAAAAAAAUGACAUCAAUUUUAAUAACACUUGUAUAAGGCACUAUAGACUCCACUAUUUUAAGGUAUUUUUUUGUUACAUAUAAAACCAGGUGCAUUUUGCUCUUUGAUUAACCGACUUGAAUCCUAGGGUUUAUAGCCCUCUUGAUUUCUUCCGUAUCUUGUAUAAUACUUGUAGGAUACUUAAAUCUUUACACUUGUAGUAAGGUGCUUUUUUCAAUUUUCACUUCUGUAUUACUGUUUUCCCUUCUUGUGGUGAACUUAUAUUCGAUAUGUUCUGUCUUAAUACGGCUUAUGCGCAAACCAUUCACUUCUAAAGCUUUAAACCCGAAAUCUAGCUUUUGAUUUAAGUAUUCACUUGAUUCUCCCAUAAGGACAAUGUUAUCGGUAAAAAGCAUGUACGGGUUCUUGGAUAUGUUUAGUAACCAAUUCCAAAAUCGAUGUGAAAAAAUAUGGGUUGAGAUGAUUGUUGAUGUAGUCCUACAGCAAUGGGGAAUUUCUUUAUCACACUACCUUAAGUCUACAUACUAGUUGUAGCUCCAUCUAAAUAUUCUUAAUUGCACUAAUAUAUGUAAUCGUUACUCCCUUCUUUUCUAAGACCUUCCAUAAGGUAUCUUUAUCUUGUGCCUAUUCUAAGUUAAUGAACAUCAUGGGUAGAUUCUUUUGGUAACUCUGGUACCACUCUAUCAUUUUCCUUCAAGUAUAUAGCAUCAUUGGGGGGAGGAUCUACCCAACAUAAAAUCAAACUAGUUCUUUGAAACUUGUGUAUCUCCCUUAUUCUUGUAGACAUGAAUCAAGAUGCUCUUUUUCCACUUGUUGACAUCUUGUUGGGCAUUAUAAUCUCAUUGGAAAGUUUUUUUUUAAAUUUGGUUAAAUUUGAUAGCAAUCUUAAUGCGUAAAAAUAUAGAAACUUCUAACAGCAUAAACUAAAUUGUUAAUUGUAUCACUGAAUCGCCGGGUAUUAAUGAGAAACUUUUAUUUCCCUUGUCGCUCAAAAGUAGAGUAUGAGCUUUGGCACAACAUUGUGACCUCCAGGAUAGUAAAAGCAGUCUAUUCACUUCUCAAUGGUGAAGUUGCAAACAUCUACUCUCCAAUAGCUAACCAGGUGAGAGACUGACAGUUUGGUCUAUUGGGCUACCCUUGUCACUCAACUUGUUACUCAAUAGUAUGGCUCUAAAAAGUAGAGAAAUGUAGUAACUAGUAAGUUAUUGCCU